rnacentral:rRNA from 1 species
UACGGGGGGGGGGCAAGCGUUGUUUCGGAAUUACUGGGCGUAAAGGGCGCGUAGGCGGUUUUGCUAAGUUUGAAUGUGAAAACUCUGGGCUUAACCCAGAGCCUGCAUUCAAUACUGGCAGGCUAGAGUUCUGGAGGGGAUAGCGGAAUUCCUGGUGUAGCGGUGAAAUGCGUAGAUAUCAGGAGGAACACCGGUGGCGAAGGCGGCUAUCUGGACAGAGUCUGACGCUGAGGCGCGAAAGCUAGGGGAGCAAACAGG